rnacentral:tRNA from 1 species
AUUUAAAUAGCUUAUAUYAGAGCAUAACAUUGAAGAUGUUAAGGAAAUUUAAAAUUUUUAAAUA